CCGAAGUUCACAGCCAUCUCUGGAGUGCUAUCACCGCUUUCUGGAGUCAUUUUGUGAACUGAUUUUAAGCCAAUUUGGCCAUUCAAGAGCUUUGAAAUGGAGACUAGCGAUGUCCCCCAAAUAUCAAUCUGUU